rnacentral:rRNA from 1 species
ACUCAAAGGAAUUGACGGGGGCCCGCACAAGCGGCGGAGCAUGCGGAUUAAUUCGAUGCAACGCGAAGAACCUUACCAAGGCUUGACAUGAACCGGUAAUACCUGGAAACAGGUGCCCCGCUUGCGGUCGGUUUACAGGUGGUGCAUGGUUGUCGUCAGCUCGUGUCGUGAGAUGUUGGGUUAAGUCCCGCAACGAGCGCAACCCUCGUUCUAUGUUGCCAGCGCGUUAUGGCGGGGACUCAUAGGAGACUGCCGGGGUCAACUCGGAGGAAGGUGGGGACGACGUCAAAUCAUCAUGCCCCUUAUGUCUUGGGCUUCACGCAUGCUACAAUGGCCGGUACAAAGGGUUGCGAUACUGUGAGGUGGAGCUAAUCCCAAAAAGCCGGUCUCAGUUCGGAUUGGGGUCUGCAACUCGACCCCAUGAAGUCGGAGUCGCUAGUAAUCGCAGAUCAGCAACGCUGCGGUGAAUACGUUCCCGGGCCUUGUACACACCGCCCGUCAAGUCACGAAAGUUGGUAACACCCGAAGCCGGUGGCCUAACCCUUGUGGGGGGAGCCGUCGAAGGUGGGACCGGCGAUUGGGACUAAGUCGUAACAAGGUAGCCGUACCGGAAGGUGUGGCUGGAUCACCUC